UACCCUCAGCACAAGUGGUGGUCAUUAUUAUUGGGCCUAAAGCGUCCGUAGCUGGCUUGUUAGAUGCCUGGGUAAAUCGAUGCGCUCAACGUAUCGAAUUCCGGGUAGACCGGCAAGCUCGAGACCGGGAGAGGUGUAGGCUACUCGAGGGGUAGGGGUAAAAUCCUGUAAUCCUUCGGGGAGGACCAGUGGCGAAGGCGCUACACUAGAACGGCUCUGACAGUGAGGGACGAAGCCCUGGGGCGCAAACCGG
rnacentral:rRNA from 1 species